CUUUCCACUUCUUCCAUUAAAUCCAUGAACUCUUUAUCUUCCUAUGUCUCUAAAUCUCUACGAUUGUGUUAUUUCUCUGUUUCCGUGUUUUGAUUGAUUGUGUUGUGAGUUUUUUUGUCGGUGGUGUGUUUUUGGUUAGGGGAUUUGAAGAGAACAGUGACAUGAUUCAAAUCAACACCAAUCUUCGUAGUCGUAGAUUCAAGAGCUUAACCUGUGUCCGUUAUCUGAGGUGAGCAAUGAUUUAGACGAAUAUCUCAUCAAAGACAUUGAAACAACCAACCUAACGGAGGACUUUAUAGCUGUCUCUCGCUAGGCCUUGAAAUUCUCUGAGUGAUGGGGUGCUGAUUAGGUUGUUUUGGUGGCCGAAAGAAUCGCCAGCGUUGGAAACGUAGAGAGUCCGAUCAGGGUAAAGCAAAUAAUCUCUCUGUGGAAUAUGCAAAACCUGUUCAUCUCAAUGAUAGAAGAGUCUCCACAGUUGAUGAGAUCUAGAAAAGCUCUGUGAUUCCAAUCACUCAAAUUUGUGACGAGGCUGAGGAGAUAAGUAGUCCAUGCCCUAAUAGAAAGAGAGUCACUUUUGACUCCAAAGACUUUGUCACAUGAACACAUUAUUGAGUCACAAGAAUAUGCUGAACUCCUGCAAGAGAAGAAAGAAGAAGUGAUUCCAGACAAGACUGAUCAGUCUUCUUCUGAAAAAAGUGAGGUUGCCUCGAACCCUUCAGGUGACAGAUACAAGAAUUGCACAGAAAGCGAUGAUGAAAUAGAAGAGGAUAAGUUGUACAAAGGCAGUAGAUAGCGGCUCUGCUUCUUCCUUCAAAGGAAUACCAAACACCACCAGCAAGUACAGAGAGGAUAAAAGCGUGAACUGACAUUCAACACCAUUUGAGGCAAGGCUGGAGAAAGCUUUGAACAGAGAUAAAUAAUGGUGCUGCACUUUACUUGAUUGUGGCUGAUUUUGAUUUUAUUUAUCUGUGUUAUCUUUGUUUGUUUGGUAGUACUGAAAAGAAAAACAUUUGUUAUCCAAAAGAAGUAAAAGACAAAAAAAAGCAUGCGAAACA